GAUGAACGCUGGCGGCGUGCCUAAUACAUGCAAGUCGAGCGAACAGAUGAGGAGCUUGCUCCUCUGACGUUAGCGGCGGACGGGUGAGUAACACGUGGAUAACCUACCUAUAAGACUGGGAUAACUUCGGGAAACCGGAGCUAAUACCGGAUAAUAUAUUGAACCGCAUGGUUCAAUAGUGAAAGACGGUUUUGCUGUCACUUAUAGAUGGAUCCGCGCCGCAUUAGCUAGUUGGUAAGGUAACGGCUUACCAAGGCAACGAUGCGUAGCCGACCUGAGAGGGUGAUCGGCCACACUGGAACUGAGACACGGUCCAGACUCCUACGGGAGGCAGCAGUAGGGAAUCUUCCGCAAUGGGCGAAAGCCUGACGAAGCAACGCCGCGUGAGUGAUGAAGGUGUUCGGAUCGUAAAACUCUGUUAUUAGGGAAGAACAAAUGUGUAAGUAACUAUGCACGUCUUGACGGUACCUAAUCAGAAAGCCACGGCUAACUACGUG
rnacentral:rRNA from 1 species